UGCAUGUUAGCGUGUGAGCUUUGCCUACCAUCUCUUACCCAUGUCUUUUGAGUACCUUCGUUUCCUCGGCGGGUCCGCCCGCCGAUUGGACAAACUUAAACCCUUUGUAAUUGAAAUCAGCGUCUGAAAAAACAUAAUAGUUACAACUUUCAACAACGGAUCUCUUGGUUCUGGCAUCGAUGAAGAACGCAGCGAAAUGCGAUAAGUAGUGUGAAUUGCAGAAUUCAGUGAAUCAUCGAAUCUUUGAACGCACAUUGCGCCCCUUGGUAUUCCAUGGGGCAUGCCUGUUCGAGCGUCAUUUGUACCUUCAAGCUCUGCUUGGUGUUGGGUGUUUGUCUCGCCUUUGCGUGUAGACUCGCCUUAAAACAAUUGGCAGCCGGCGUAUUGAUUUCGGAGCGCAGUACAUCUCGCGCUUUGCACUCAUAACGACGACGUCCAAAAAGUACUUUUUACACUCUUGACCUCGGAUCAGGUAGGGAUACCCGCUGAACUUAAGCAUAUCUAGGCCGCGCGGAGAAGCAAUCAUUACCUAGAGUUGUUAGGCUUUUGCCUACCAUCUCUUACCCAUGUCUUUUGAGUACCUUCG
rnacentral:rRNA from 1 species